GUGUCAGCAGCCGCGGUAAUACGAAGGUCCCAAGCGUUAUCCGGAUUUAUUGGGUUUAAAGGGUGCGUAGGCGGGCUAUUAAGUCAGUGGUGAAAGCCCCAAGCUUAACUUGGGAACUGCCAUUGAUACUGAUGGUCUUGAGUACAUUUGAGGUGGGCGGAAUGUGUCAUGUAGCGGUGAAAUGCUUAGAUAUGACACAGAACACCGAUUGCGAAGGCAGCUCACUAAACUGUAACUGACGCUGAGGCACGAAAGCGUGGGGAGCAAACAGGAUUAGAAACCCUGGUAGUCC
rnacentral:rRNA from 1 species